rnacentral:rRNA from 1 species
GAUGAGCGCUGGCGGCGUGCCUAAUACAUGCAAGUCGAGCGAACGGACGAGAAGCUUGCUUCUCUGAUGUUAGCGGCGGACGGGUGAGUAACACGUGGAUAACCUACCUAUAAGACUGGGAUAACUUCGGGAAACCGGAGCUAAUACCGGAUGAUAUUUUGAACCGCAUGGUUCAAAAGUGAAAGACGGUCUUGCUGUCACUUAUAGAUGGAUCCGCGCUGCAUUAGCUAGUUGGUAAGGUAACGGCUUACCAAGGCAACGAUGCAUAGCCGACCUGAGAGGGUGAUCGGCCACACUGGAACUGAGACACGGUCCAGACUCCUACGGGAGGCAGCAGUAGGGAAUCUUCCGCAAUGGGCGAAAGCCUGACGGAGCAACGCCGCGUGAGUGAUGAAGGUCUUCGGAUCGUAAAACUCUGUUAUUAGGGAAGAACAUAUGUGUAAGUAACUGUGCACAUCUUGACGGUACCUAAUCAGGAAGCCACGGCUAACUACGUG